AGAAAGAGUAAGACAGCGAGAUGAAGA
rnacentral:piRNA from 1 species